GUUAGGAAUAUUGGACAAUGGGCGCAAGCCUGAUCCAGCCAUGCCGCGUGAGUGAUGAAGGCCUUCGGGUUGUAAAGCUCUUUAGCCGAUGAUUAUAAUGACUGUAGUCGGAAAAUAAGCCCCGGCUAACUUCGUGCCAGCAGCCGCGGUAAUACGAAGGGGGCGAGCGUUAUUCGGAAUCACUGGGCGUAAAGUGUGCGUAGGCGGCUUUGCAAGUUGGGAGUGAAAGCCCAGGGCUCAACCCUGGAAUUGCUCUCAAAACUGCAAGGCUCGAAUUCGGGAGAGGAUAGCGGAAUUGUCAGUGUAGCAGUGAAAUGCGUAGAUAUUGACAGGAACACCAGUGGCGUAAGCGGCUAUCUGGACCGAUAUUGACGCUGAGGCACGAAAGCGUGGGGAUCAAACAGGAUUAGAUACCCGGGUAGUCC
rnacentral:rRNA from 1 species